rnacentral:rRNA from 1 species
CACCAGCAGCUCAAGUGGUGAUCGCGUUUACUGGGUUUGAAGCGUGCGUAGUCGGUUCAGCAAGUCUUCUGUGAAAUCCUCAGGCUUAACUUGAGGGAUUGCAGAGGAUACUACUGGGCUCGAGACCGGGUAAGGAGUGAGGUAUUCUAGGGGUAGCGGUGAAAUGCUAUAAUCCCUGGAGGACCACCCGUAGCGAAGGCGUCACUCUAGAACGGGUCUGACGAUGAGGUACGAGAGCUAGGGGAGCGAACAGGAUUAGAUACCCUGGUAGUCCUAGCCGUAAACGAUGCGGAUUUAGUGUUCCCCAAACCUCGUGUUCGGGGAGCGCUGAAGGGAAACCGUUAAAUCCGCCACCUGGGGAGUACGGUCGCAAGGCUGAAACUUAAAGGAAUUGGCGGGGGAACACCACAAGGGGUGGAUGCUGCGGUUCAAUUGGAUACAACGCCGGGAAACUCACCAGAGGCGACGGCACAAUGAAGGCCAGGCUGAAGGUCUUGCCGAAGGAGCCGAGAGGUAGUGCAUGGCCGUCGUCAGCUCGUACCGUGAGGCGUACGGUUAAGUCCGUUAACGAGCGAGACCCGUACCACUAUUUGCAACCUUCAAGGAUACUUGGGGGGCACUAUAGUGGGACUGCAUGCGAUGAGUGUGAGGAAGGCGCGGGCAACGACAGGUCAGUAUGCUCCGAAUCUCCUGGGCUACACGCGGCAUACAAUGGCAUGGACAAUGGGUUGCAACACCGAAAGGUGGAGCUAAUCCCCUAAACCAUGUCUUAGUACGGGUUGAGGGUUGAAACUCACCCUCAUGAAGCUGAAAUCCCUAGUAAUCGCUGUUUACCAUACAGCGGUGAAUAUGUCCCUGUUCCU